CCUUUAAAUUCACAAACACUACUAGAGUUAAGAAGUCUCCUAUGUUGACGAAUUGGUAGACAUAAGUAGGUAUCCUAAACGGCAGUGCUACACUCAGGUAAUUCGCCCCUCACUCGGCGAAUCACGACAACCGCCCAACAGAAUAAAGUCGACUUCAAUUGCUUUCACUUACUUUAUGAAGUAGCCGGCCCCUUCGUCCGUGAAACCCUCUUCCCAUCCUCGAGGUUCGCCCGUUCGCGGAUGGAGCCAAGUAGUGGUGCUCGUUUCAUCGCUGCCAGAAAGACAAAAACACCUGUUAGAGGCAAGAAACACUCGACAAGCGAACUCUCAUUAAAGAUGCAGAAAGAACGACCACAUUUGUAUUUCGCCGACUCACUGAACGAAAAACACUCUGCCAUCUCCGCAGACACCGAAAGACCAUUGCUCAGGUUGGGACCAACAUGGAUGAGUACCUGCACCAGGCGGAGGUGACGAGACACCACCCAUUUGUGUUGGCUCUUGGAGAAUGCUGACAUUUUGUUUACAGUAAUUAGUGGACAGGCAUUGGAGCAAGGUACACUGCUUGGGGCACUGGAUGUGUGAUUCAAGUCCUAUUAUGUGUUUUGAUAUCAACUUUCCCACUGUGCCCCAGCAUGGGAACUCCUAAAGACCACAUUGUAUCAGCUGCCAGGAAUAUAAUUUUUCACUGAACAAUAGUGGAUAAGUAUCUGCUCUUGUAUGUACUGUGAGAAGUGACCGGAGGAAGCCCCCCCCCCCCCCCCCUCCCGGCUGAUGUCUUCCUGUGAAUUAAUAGAUCAAUCGAUGGAUGAGCCAUAAGUGUCUCAUUCCAAAGCUAAUAUGCUCUUAAGGCACUUUGUAUCUCUGUUAAAUUGACUUUUAGUUUGUUUUUUAAUGCAUUUGUGUCAUCUUUUUGCUACAGUAUGGUAUGUGGCUUGUUUGCCUUUAGUUCAACUACUGAAGUGUGUUCUGGUACACUUUUAUUCUAUCUCAACAAUUGAUUUGAAAAACAAAUGUUACAUUAUGGGGGUUGUAAAAGUGCAUUUAUGAAUGAAAUACAGUUAUUAAGUAAUGAGUCAUUAGUCCAUGUCUUUAGUAGAGUGACCUUCAAAUGUUUUGUGUAACAAUGUUUUAACUCGACCCAAAUGUAGACCAUUAUUGUAUGGCAAAACAGCAUGGUGUGUGCUCUCACCUAAGAUGGCCGACGUGUGUCAGUGAAUGUGAAUAUCUAUUGAUUGGCACUGUCUGAGACAGACCUGUGUUAGUACCAUUUUGAGACUGUGUCACACACACGCUUUGUUUUCUCAGAUUGCAAUCAAUUUCAACAAUGUGAAAUGUCAGAAUAAUAGUAGAGAAUUUGUAUUUCAUCUUUCAUUUCUUUCAUCACAUUCCCUGUGGGUCAGAAGUUUACAUAUACUCAAUUAGUAUUUGGUAGCAUUGCCUUUCA